GGAAGAGGCAUGUAUUUAAGCCUCCACUAUCUGUUGAUCUCAUUUAAACUGAACUCUGCGGUACCAACGAGGCUUCAUUCUGGUUGACAACAGGUUGGUGUUCUUAAUUUGACGCUUAGACCAGUCCAAGGACAGAAACGGAAAUGUCUGAGAGUCCUGCUGAAGGAGAAGGCCUUGAAUUGAGGAAGAAAAACGAAGAGAGAGUCGAAGAGAUAGUCGAAGACCUCGCCUCAGCCAUUGAGGGCCUCGGAAAGUUGAAGCCCAAGAUACAAGGAGCGAUUGAAGUAUCAAUUGGGAUCUUGAUGGCACUGGCAGCAAUUACGUAUCUGGCUGUUGGAAUUUCCAUUUACCUAACACUAAUGCUCUACUGGGAAAUCUUCAUCUACAUCCCUGCUGGGGGUCUGACCAUCGCUGCCGACAGGAAACCCACCAGGGCCAAGAUAAACACUGAAUGGUUCAUGCUGGCCGCGUCCAUCUUGCUGUUCUUGGUCUCCAUAUUGGUUGUUUCAGCUACAGCGUCUGCUCUGUGUUGCUCUAGAAAGGGGAAGGCUGCUUGUGGCUGGUGCUGGCAGGUGAUGAUGGAGGCGGCUGAUGAUUGAUGCUGCUGAUGGUGGAUGCUGAUGGCGGUGGAUCGCUGCUGGUGGUGGUGGUGGUGGUGGCUUGAGCUGGCUGGUGCCGGCAAACACUGCUGCCGCUGCUGGUCGCUGCUGCUUGAGGCGAUGGCUGCUUGAGCUGGCUGGUGGUGGCGAAGGAUGGUGGUGGCGGCGAUUGCUGCUGCUAGUGGUGGCGGCUUGUGCCGGCGACGGCUGUUGGUGGUGGCGACUGCUGGUGGCUGGUGGUGGGUGGCUGGUGGUGGUGGUGGCGGCGGCGGCGGCGAUUGUUGUUCUUCCUUUCGACCUGAUGCACUUUGCUAUCCUUAACCUCAGCCUGAUGUACAGUAUGUGGAGCAUUUUCUGUUUUUAUUAAUAACAUAAUAAACAAUAUUCAUCCCUGUUCCUUCACUGUGUUCUUGUUGCUCAAGUUGGAUACACACACACACACGCACGCACGCACGCACGCACGCACGCACGCACGCACGCACGCACGCACGCACGCACGCACGCACGCACGCACGCACGCACACACACACACACACACACACACACACACACACACACUCUUGUCUCACUCAUUGUUAAAUAAAAAAAAUACUAUUUCAU
ensembl:lncRNA